GACCUGUGAGGGAAACUUCACUGAGUGGAGAGUGAGGAAGUUCUCUGAGGAUGGCCGACUCUCUGACUGUAGGAGAAUGACUGGAUCCACAUGUAACAUCAUCACAUCAGAGUCAGAUACUGGAGUGUACUGGUGUGAGUCUGGAUCAGGAGAGUUCAGCAGUGCAGUCAACAUCACUGUACAGAAUGAUGGUAAUGGUCCUAUCCUGGUGAGUCCUGUUCAUCCUGUGACUGAGGGAGCUUCUGUUAGUCUGAGCUGCAGUUUGAAAACACAAAAAAUACUUUCCAA